rnacentral:rRNA from 1 species
GAUGAACGCUGGCGGUAUGCUUAACACAUGCAAGUCGAACGGACUCUUCGGAGUUAGUGGCGGACGGGUGAGUAACGCGUGAGAAUCUGGCUUUGGGUUCGGGACAACCACUGGAAACGGUGGCUAAUACCGGAUGUGCCGAGAGGUAAAAGAGAAAUUGCCUGAAGAUGAGCUCGCGUCUGAUUAGCUAGUUGGUGAGGUAAGGGCUCACCAAGGCAGCGAUCAGUAGCUGGUCUGAGAGGAUGACCAGCCACACUGGGACUGAGACACGGCCCAGACUCCUACGGGAGGCAGCAGUGGGGAAUUUUCCGCAAUGGGCGAAAGCCUGACGGAGCAAUACCGCGUGAGGGAAGAAGGCUCUUGGGUUGUAAACCUCUUUUCUUAGGGAAGAACAAAAUGACGGUACCUAAGGAAUCAGCAUCGGCUAACUCCGCG